GACGAACGCUGGCGGCGUGCUUAACACAUGCAAGUCGAGCGGUAAGGCCCUUUCGGGGGUACGACGAGCGGCGAACGGGUGAGUAACACGUGGGUGACCUGCCCUCCAGCUCUGGGAGUAAGCCUCGGGAAACCGGGGUACGUAAUAACUGGAUAUGACUCCAUGACGCAUGUUGUGGGGUGGAAAGCCUUGUGCGGCUGAGGAUGGGCCCGCGGCCUAUCAGCUUGUUGGUGGGGU
rnacentral:rRNA from 1 species